GGUGAACGCUGGCGGCGUGCUUAAGACAUGCAAGUCGAACGGGCUCUUCGGAGCCAGUGGCGCACGGGUGAGUAACGCGUAACUGACCUACCCCAAAGUCGCGGAUAACGAUUCGAAAGAAUCGCUAAUACGUGAUGUGCUGUCAGAUCCUGUUCUGCCAGUAAAGAUUUAUUGCUUUGGGAUGGGGUUGCGUUCCAUCAGCUAGUUGGUGGGGUAAAGGCCCACUAAGGCGACGACGGAUCGCCGGCCUGAGAGGGUGGCCGGCCACAGGGGCACUGAGACACGGGUCCCACUCCUACGGGAGGCAGCAGUUAGGAAUCUUCCACAAUGGGCGAAAGCCUGAUGGAGCGACGCCGCGUGAGGGAUGAAGGGCUUCGGAUCGUAAACCGCUGAAUCAGGGACGAAAGACGCGAAAGCGGGAUGACGGUACCUGAGUAAUAGCACCGGCUAACUCCGUG
rnacentral:rRNA from 1 species